rnacentral:rRNA from 1 species
AUUCCUACGGGAGGCAGCAGUGGGGAAUCUUAGACAAUGGGCGCAAGCCUGAUCUAGCCAUGCCGCGUGAGCGAUGAGGCCUUAGGGUUGUAAAGCUCUUUCAGCGAGGAAGAUAAUGACUGUACUCGCAGAAGAAGCCCCGGCUAACUCCGUGCCAGCAGCCGCGGUAAUAAU